GGACACGAUCAGCAGGGAAAGCACAUGUGUUUUUAUGAGAAUUAUGCUGAGAUAGGUAACAGAUGAGGAUGAAAUUUGGGCUUGACUGAAGUAAUGGGGGCUGUCUGUGAAGCCUUGCGGCAGUACAGCCCAGGCAGCACUGAGAAGUGAAGGAAUAUUUGGGAGGAUCAGAAGCUUGGUCCUGAUUUUGCCAUCAACAGGAACUUGAUGACUUCAAGGGAGUCCCCAAACCCUGGGUUUCUGUUUUCUCAACUCUAACAUGAGGGGCUAGAUGCAUCUGGUUUAGUUAGUCUCCAUGAUGGUUUAGUUCGUCUCCAUGAUCCUGUGAAUUUCAGAUGUUGAAAAUCUUUGGAAAAGCCCUGAAAGAUGAACAGUGGUCUCAAAUAGUCAAGACCCCCUGCUGGGAGGAGCUAUCCUGCUCUUUGGAA
rnacentral:antisense_RNA from 1 species